rnacentral:rRNA from 1 species
GGGCCCGCACAAGCGGUGGAGUAUGUGGUUUAAUUCGAUGCAACGCGAAGAACCUUACCAGGGUUUGACAUCCUGCGAAUCUCUUGGAAACGAGAGAGUGCCUUCGGGAGCGCAGUGACAGGUGGUGCAUGGCUGUCGUCAGCUCGUGUCGUGAGAUGUUGGGUUAAGUCCUAUAACGAGCGCAACCCCUGCCGUUAGUUGCCAGCAUGUAAUGAUGGGAACUCUAGAGAGACUGCCGGUGAUAAACCGGAGGAAGGUGUGGAUGACGUCAAGUCAUCAUGCCCCUUACAUCCUGGGCUACACACGUACUACAAUGCUACGGACAAAGGGCUGCAAGUUCGCGAGGACAAGCAAAUCCCAUAAACCGUGGCUCAGUUCAGAUCGUAGGCUGCAACUCGCCUACGUGAAGGCGGAAUCGCUAGUAAUCG